rfam:Solobacterium moorei F0204 genomic scaffold Scfld120, whole genome shotgun sequence.
CGAGGUCUGUAACCGCUCAGGAAAGGGUUAAGUACGUAAGUCCCCUUGAUGGCGCGUCUUAUGAUAAAU